UACGUAGGGACCGAGCGUUGUCCGGAUUCAUUGGGCGUAAAGAGCUCGUAGGCGGCUGCUCAAGUCGAAUGUGAAACCUCGAGGCUUAACCUCGAGCCUGCAUUCGAUACUGGGCGGCUAGAGUCUGGUAGGGGGAUCUGGAAUUCCUGGUGUAGCGGUGGAAUGCGCAGAUAUCAGGAGGAACACCGGUGGCGAAGGCGGAUCUCUGGGCCUUACCUGACGCUGAGGCGCGAAAGCUAGGGGAGCGAACAGG
rnacentral:rRNA from 1 species